CCCUACAUCUAACUAAUCCCAACAUGUCCUAACCAUAAAAUAAAAAACAAAAGUAUGCGUGUCAUCCUCCUCUAGGUUGCAAAUGUUAUAUCUAAGAUCCAAAUCAAUUCUUGGCCAACUCAAAUUCACUUUGAAGAAAAUACUUUUAAUAACUCUACAGGUAAAAAUCUUAAAUUUGAGAGGAUUUUUAACUGUAAAAUUAUAAUUUCAAUUAUCAGGAAUAAAGAAAUAAGCCAAUACUACUGAAAAAUUAACAAGCAAAUGAAAUUCAUAUUUAAUUGCAUAAAUACCAGAGUGAGAACUAAAUCCUUUUAUCAAUAUGAUUCA
rnacentral:lncRNA from 1 species